GACGAACGCUGGCGGCGUGCCUAAUACAUGCAAGUAGAACGCACAGUUUAUACCGUAGCUUGCUACACCAUAGACUGUGAGUUGCGAACGGGUGAGUAACGCGUAGGUAACCUGCCUGGUAGCGGGGGAUAACUAUUGGAAACGAUAGCUGAUACCGCAUAAUAUUAAUUAUUGCAUGAUAUUAAUUGAAAGGUGCAAUUGCACCACUACCAGAUGGACCUGCGUUGUAUUAGCUAGUAGGUGAGGUAACGGCUCACCUAGGCGACGAUACAUAGCCGACCUGAGAGGGUGAUCGGCCACACUGGGACGGAGACACGGCCCAGACUCCUACGGGAGGCAGCAGUAGGGAAUCUUCGGCAAUGGACGAAAGGCUGACCGAGCAACGCCGCGGGAGUGAAGAAGGUUUUCGGAUCGUAAAGCUCGGUUGUAAGAGAAGAACGGGUGUGAGAGUGGAAAGUUCACACUGUGACGGUAUCUUACCAGAAAGGGACGGCUAACUACGUG
rnacentral:rRNA from 1 species